GGUCGCGUAGCUCAGUUGGGAGAGCGCCUGCCCCACACGCAGGAGGCCGCUGGUUCAAGCCCAGCCGCGAUCA
rnacentral:tRNA from 2 species